CGUGGAGUCUAGGGCAUUUCUCUCCUCCACACUCUCACUCGUCCAGCAUGCUCUCACUGCUGUCUCUCUGCGUGACAGCUGCUCUGCUGCUGCCUCUCUGCUGUGGUACCACAAAUGAUCCUCAACAAGAUGAAAUGACACCAACUCCAGAUUAUACCGAUUACACCUUUGACUAUGGCAAUGAUUCAACAAUGAAUUAUGACAUGUACAUAAUUCUCAACCAAGAAAAAGAAACAGACGUAAAAGCAGUUGGUAGUGACGUGAACAAGGUUUCACAUGGAUUUUAUGCUGUAGUACUGGGACUGACAGUACAACAGUUCUGCCAACAAAUAUGAAUAGAGCUGAACACCAAAGGAUCUGAAGCCACAGCAAGAGACCAAUCUAGAUGUCCAGGCAAUGUACCAGAGGAUGCACCAUUUCCUUCAUCUUAAUCUUCAUUUUAUUGAAGGUUAUUUUUAACCGUAAAUAAAAAUUCAACACAAUGAAACCUCAGAAUGGUAUCACCUCAAAGAAUAUCAGCCCCCUGAAACGUGAAUCUGAAAUCUUUCUAUUUUUCACUGACACCAUGGGUUGGCUUCCUGCAAAUUGAUUAAGCCUAGUCCUCUUUAUAUAGGUUCCAUUCUGAAUGGAGAUUCUCCAUGGUAAGGAAAAUGUAGUCCAGGUUAUGGCUAAUGGGGUCAGUUUCCAGCGACUUUAUUGCAAAACUUUACUGGGCUAAGACAGGGUUCAAGAUCAUUGACAUAUACCUACAUAAACAUUUACAAAGACUUAUUCCAAAAAGCAUCAGCUAUCAUUACACUUUCUUAGGUAAAACUGAGUAAAACAGCCUUUAUGAUAACAGAUGCUUGUUGGAAUAUUCUUUUAUGAAUGUAAAGGUAGGUUUAGGUCAGCUGUCAUAAAAGGCUUAUGCAGAUGUCUUGUAGUCUUACAAAUGCUGCCCUUCAGUAAAGUGUUACUAAUAUUGUAGACAGGUAUGACUUUGUUUGACUAUGUAUUUGUUUCUUUAAGAAAUGCACCCAAAAACACCUAAAAACAAAAGGUGGAAGAAAAAAAAAACUAGGACAAGAAAGUCUUCAGGUGAUAGGAAACAAGAUUA